UGGCCUUGUUUUGUUUGUCUUCUCCUGCUGGGUGUCUGUGGAGACGUGUCCAGGUUGGCGUGCUUUACGUUUUUGCCGUUGCCCUAGGUCGUCAGUCUGCUGCGGUGUGAGCUGACCCUGUUCUGGUUGUGGAUGUCCCCGUGUGGGUGGAUGUAUCUGGGCUGCUGGCGUUGGGUGUCUCGUGUGGGCCGCUGUGUGUGUGCGCGAGGUGGGUUCCUCCGCCGGGGUCUGAGGGCGGCCUGUCCUGUAAUUCGCUGGACCGGGCUGCAGCCUUAUCCAGGCUGCUGUGGGGCUGUCGUGGUGCCACGACUAAUUAAAGGGCCAGUAUUCCCCCGGCGCGUUCUUCCCCCACUAAAGCUGUUCUGGAUUCCGGCAAAAGAGUCCGGUAGAAGUGUUUCUUUUGAGUCCGGUCUUGGGCCUAUCCUGUGUGUCUGACUGACUGACUCCAGGGCUAGCACUGCUACAUCUAGCUAGCUCAAUGGAACACGGAGGACUCCGUUACCAGACGAGACAGCAUUUCGGUGGAAAAAA